rnacentral:rRNA from 1 species
AGUGAACGCUGGCGGUAGGCCUAACACAUGCAAGUCGAACGGCAGCACAGUAAGAGCUUGCUCUUACGGGUGGCGAGUGGCGGACGGGUGAGGAAUACAUCGGAAUCUACUUUUUCGUGGGGGAUAACGUAGGGAAACUUACGCUAAUACCGCAUACGACCUACGGGUGAAAGCAGGGGAUCUUCGGACCUUGCGCGAUUGAAUGAGCCGAUGUCGGAUUAGCUAGUUGGCGGGGUAAAGGCCCACCAAGGCGACGAUCCGUAGCUGGUCCGAGAGGAUGAUCAGCCACACUGGAACUGAGACACGGUCCAGACUCCUACGGGAGGCAGCAGUGGGGAAUAUUGGACAAUGGGCGAAAGCCUGAUCCAGCCAUACCGCGUGGGUGAAGAAGGCCUUCGGGUUGUAAAGCCCUUUUGUUGGGAAAGAAAAGCAGCAGGUUAAUCCCCCGCUGUUCUGACGGUACCCAAAGAAUAAGCACCGGCUAACUUCGUG